rnacentral:rRNA from 1 species
GGGUCAGUAGGUUGGUCGUGCCACCGGUACGUACUGGUCUCACUGAUUCCUCCUUCCUGAAGAACCGUAAUGCCAUUAAUUUGGUGUUGCGGGGAAACAGGACUGUUACUUUGAAAAAAUUAGAGUGUUUAAAGCAAGCUAACGCUUGAAUACAUUAGCAUGGAAUAACGAAAUAGGACGAUCGAUCCUAUAUUGUUGGUUUCUAGGAUUGACGGA